UGCAAAGCCACAGAAACCCAAGUACAACAUCGGAAUUCGCCGUUCCAUUGUCCAUCGCCUCCUGGCACCAUGGCCCUGGCUUCUCUAACUCUCUGUCUCCUGGGGCUUUCCCUGGCAGUGCCCUACACAAAGGCUGUAUUGACCCAGGCGGCCUCGGCGUCAGUGUCUCGAGGAAACGCUGCUAAACUGUCCUGCACUUUGAGCGCUGGCACCAGCAUCAGUAGCACCCAUGUGAGCUGGCUGCAGCAGAAAGCAGGGAACCCACCCAGAUACCUGCUCUAUUGUAAAGAUGAAUCCAGUGAAGGGCUCGCCUUGGCGGCCUCCAACCGGUUCUCCGCUACCAAAGAGGCCUCCACUAACACCUGUUAUUUAGCCAUCUCUGCAGUCGAAGCCGAGGAUGAGGCCAGUUAUUACUGUCUAAUAUCGAGUGGUGGCGAGUAA